rnacentral:ncRNA from 1 species
AGUUUGCCUGAAAAGAGAGGUUAGUAUUUCCUUUGAUAAGGAUGGAAGAGGACCUAGUGGCCUUUACCACACAUUUAUAGUUGAGGCAUUACCAACCACUCUGUGGCAUCUCACCAUGUAAUGCU